UCCUUUCCCCGGGUACCAUAGAGACAAACUAAAAAGACUAUAUUGCCCUCUAAAAUCUAAACAACAAUAUCGAUUAUUUUCUUUUUCCAAUCUCUCUCUCCAAAUAAAAUAUUUUUCAACAAUCCUUCAUCUCUUUUAAUCUUCGUCGUUCUCUGCAACUCUCAUUUUUUCAUAUUCCAAUUUUUUUUUUUGGUGAGUCUCUCCAUCCCAAAUUCAUCUACAUAUUUUUUUCCAUAAUUUACUCCGAUCAUGUUUGCAUCUGAUCCAAUUUCACCCGCUGCAUAUGAGGAAUCCCUUCAUCUGUAACAUGAGAUGCUCUUGUCGCCAUCAGAGAUGCUUCCUUCUAAAGCUGGGAAUCCCAACAAGUCAGUGGACAUAACUCUCAAAGGUUGAAUUUUCGAUCCGGUAGACUAGAUACAACCGACCAAGUUUUUGUCCACCGCUGUUAAGUUCUUUGUUCUCUUGAGUAGACCAGAUUCGUUUUGUCUGGCGUUUUGUGUCUAUUCCUAACAAGAAAACUUGUCCACAUUGCAUGUUAGCAGAAUCUGGUGGACCAGAUCCAACAACCAAGGUUUUUGUCCACCACUAUUAUGUCCUUCGUUCUCUUAAGUUGGUCAUAUCUGUUUGGUCUGGUGUUUUGUGUCCAUCGCUUACAAAAAAAUGCCCACAUUGUUGGUCUGCAAAUCCGGUGGACCAGAUCAAACAACCAAGAUUUUUGUCCAUCACUAUUAUGUCCUUCAUUCUCUUUGAGUGGACCAUAUCAGUUUGGUAUGACUAUUUGUAUCCAUUGCUAACCAAAAAAGUGUCUACAUUGCAACUAUAAAGAUCCAAUGGA